rnacentral:rRNA from 1 species
AGUGAACGCUGGCGGUAGGCCUAACACAUGCAAGUCGAACGGCAGCACAGUAAGAGCUUGCUCUUACGGGUGGCGAGUGGCGGACGGGUGAGGAAUACAUCGGAAUCUACUUUUUCGUGGGGGUUAACGUAGGGAAACUUACGCUAAUACCGCAUACGACCUACGGGUGAAAGCAGGGGAUCUUCGGACCUUGCGCGAUUGAAUGAGCCGAUGUCGGAUUAGCUAGUUGGCGGGGUAAAGGCCCACCAAGGCGACGAUCCGUAGCUGGUCUGAGAGGAUGAUCAGCCACACUGGAACUGAGACACGCUCCAGACUCCUACGGGAGGCAGCAGUGGGGAAUAUUGGACAAUGGGCGCAAGCCUGAUCCAGCCAUACCGCGUGGGUGAAGAAGGCCUUCGGGUUGUAAAGCCCUUUUGUUGGGAAAGAAAAGCAGCAGGUUAAUACCCCGCUGUUCUGACGGUACCCAAAGAAUAAGCACCGGCUAACUUCGUG